ACAGCAGCCGCCGCGGUAAUACGUAGGUGGCAAGCGUUGUCCGGAAUUAUUGGGCGUAAAGGGCUCGCAGGCGGUUUCUUAAGUCUGAUGUGAAAGCCCCCGGCUCAACCGGGGAGGGUCAUUGGAAACUGGGAAACUUGAGUGCAGAAGAGGAGAGUGGAAUUCCACGUGUAGCGGUGAAAUGCGUAGAGAUGUGGAGGAACACCAGUGGCGAAGGCGACUCUCUGGUCUGUAACUGACGCUGAGGAGCGAAAGCGUGGGGAGCGAACAGGAUUAGAUACCCCUGUAGUCCCUGUCUCUUAUAC
rnacentral:rRNA from 1 species